UACGUAGGUGGCAAGCGUUGUCCGGAUUUACUGGGCGUAAAGCGCGUGUAGGCGGCUUUGCAAGUCGGAUGUGAAAGCCCACGGCUCAACCGUGGAAGUGCAUCCGAAACUGCAUGGCUGGAGUCUCGGAGAGGAAGGUGGAAUGCUUGGUGUAGAGGUGAAAUUCGUAGAUAUCAAGCAGAACACCUGCGGCGAAGGCGGCCUUCUGGACGAUGACUGACGCUGAGACGCGAAAGCGUGGGGAGCAAACAGG
rnacentral:rRNA from 1 species